UAGUCCACUCAGCCAUCUCUCC
rnacentral:tRNA from 5 species